rnacentral:rRNA from 1 species
UACAGAGGUCCCGAGCGUUGUUCGGAUUCAUUGGGCGUAAAGGGUGCGUAGGUGGCGCUGUAAGUGGGGUGUGAAAUCCCGGGGCUUAACUCCGGAACUGCAUUCCAUACUGCGGUGCUUGAGGACUGGAGAGGAGACUGGAAUUUACGGUGUAGCAGUGAAAUGCGUAGAGAUCGUAAGGAAGACCAGUGGCGAAGGCGGGUUUCUGGACAGUUCCUGACGCUGAGGCACGAAGGUCAGGGGAGCAAACGGG